rnacentral:rRNA from 1 species
AUUGAACGCUGGCGGCAGGCCUAACACAUGCAAGUCGAGCGAGCGGCGGACGGGUGAGUAAUGUCUGGGAAACUGCCGGAUGGAGGGGGAUAACUACUGGAAACGGUAGCUAAUACCGCAUACCAUCGGAUGUGCCCAGAUGGGAUUAGCUAGUAGGUGGGGUAACGUCUCGCCUAGGCGACGAUCCCUAGCUGGUCUGAGAGGAUGACCAGCCAAACUGGAACGGAGACACGGUCCAGACUCCUACGGGGGGAAGAAGUGGGGAAUAUUGCAAAAUGGGCGCAAGCCUGAGGCAGCCAUGCCGCGUGUGUGAAGAAGGCCUUCGGGUUGUAAAGCACUUUCAGCGGGGAGGCGUUACCCGAAGAAGAAGCACCGGCUAACUCCGUGCCAGCAGCCGCGGUAAUUC